GCCCGGAGAUGGGUACUGAACACGGACCCAGCCCCUAUGGGGCGCAGCAGGCGAGAACCUUUGCAAUGUGCGAAAGCACGACAAGGUUAAUCCGAGUGUCUCCUGCUAAAGGAGUCUUUUGUCAGUUGUAGAAUCACUGGUGAAUAAGGGGUGGGCAAGUUCUGGUGUCAGCCGCCGCGGUAAAACCAGCACCUCGAGUGGUCAGGAGGUUUAUUGGGCCUAAAGCAUCCGUAGCCGGUUGCAUAAGUUUUCGGUUAAAUCUAUGCGCUUAACGUAUAGGCCGCCGAAAAUACUGUGCAGCUAGGGAGUGGGAGAGGUACACGGUACUCGAUAGGAAGGGGUAAAAUCCUUUGAUCUAUUGAAGACCACCUGUGGCGAAGGCGGUGUACCAGAACACGUUCGACGGUGAGGGAUGAAAGCUGGGGGAGCAAACCGGAUUAGAUACCCGGGUAGUCCCAGCUGUAAACGAUGCAGACUCGGUGAUGCAUUGGCUUGUGGCCAAUGCAGUGCCGCAGGGAAGCCGUUAAGUCUGCCGCCUGGGAAGUGCGUACGCAAGUAUGAAACUUAAAGGAAUUGGCGGGGGAGCACCACAAGGGGUGAAGCCUGCGGUCAAUUGGAUCAAC
rnacentral:rRNA from 1 species